rnacentral:rRNA from 1 species
UAAUACGUAGGGUGCAAGCGUUAUCCGGAAUCACUGGGCGUAAAGCGUGCGUAGGCGGACUCUUAAGUGUGGUGUUAAAUCGUGUGGCUCAACCAUAUCGAUGCAUCGCAAACUGGGAGUCUAGAGGACAGCAGAGGCAAGUGGAAUUGGCAGUGUAGCAGUGAAAUGCGUAGAGAUUGCCAGGAACACCAAUGGCGAAGGCAGCUUGCUGGGCUGUUUCUGACGCUCAGGCACGAAAGCGUGGGGAGCGAACAGGAUUAGAUACCCUGGUAGUCCACGCCGUAAACGAUGCAUACUAGACGUAUGGGGUAUCGACCCCCUGUGCGUCGUAGCUAACGCGUUAAGUAUGCCGCCUGGGAAGUACGAUCGCAAGAUUA